rnacentral:rRNA from 1 species
UACGUAGGCAGCAAGCGUUGUUCGGAAUUACUGGGCGUAAAGGGCGCGUAGGCGGUGUGUCAAGUCAGGCGUGAAAGCCCCGGGCUCAACCUGGGAACCGCGCUUGAGACUGGCACGCUCGAGUUCGGGAGAGGAUGGUGGAAUUCCCGAGUGUAGAGGUGAAAUUCGUAGAUAUUGGGAAGAACACCGAUGGCGAAGGCAGCCAUCUGGACCGACACUGACGCUGAGGCGCGAAAGCG